UGGCGAACGGGUGAGUAAUACGUGAGUAACCUACCUUUAACUCUGGGAUAAGCCUGGGAAACUGGGUCUAAUACCGGAUACGACCAAUCUCCGCAUGGGGUGUUGGUGGAAAGCGUUAUGUAGUGGUUAUAGAUGGGCUCACGGCCUAUCAGCUUGUUGGUGAGGUAACGGCUCACCAAGGCGACGACGGGUAGCCGGCCUGAGAGGGUGACCGGCCACACUGGGACUGAGACACGGCCCAGACUCCUACGGGAGGCAGCAGUGGGGAAUAUUGCACAAUGGGCGCAAGCCUGAUGCAGCGACGCCGCGUGAGGGAUGACGGCCUUCGGGUUGUAAACCUCUGUUAGCAGGGAAGAAGAGAGAUUGACGGUACCUGCAGAGAAAGCGCCGGCUAACUACGUGCCAGCAGCCGCGGUAAUACGUAGGGCGCGAGCGUUGUCCGGAAUUAUUGGGCGUAAAGAGCUUGUAGGCGGUUUGUCGCGUCUGCUGUGAAAGGCCGGGGCUUAACUCCGUGUAUUGCAGUGGGUACGGGCAGACUAGAGUGCAGUAGGGGAGACUGGAAUUCCUGGUGUAGCGGUGGAAUGCGCAGAUAUCAGGAGGAACACCGAUGGCGAAGGCAGGUCUCUGGGCUGUAACUGACGCUGAGAAGCGAAAGCAUGGGGAGCGAACAGGAUUAGAUACCCUGGUAGUCCAUGCCGUAAACGUUGGGCACUAGGUGUGGGGGACAUUCCACGUUUUCCGCGCCGUAGCUAACGCAUUAAGUGCCCCGCCUGGGGAGUACGGCCGCAAGGCUAAAACUCAAAGAAAUUGACGGGGGCCCGCACAAGCGGCGGAGCAUGCGGAUUAAUUCGAUGCAACGCGAAGAACCUUACCAAGGC
rnacentral:rRNA from 1 species